UACGAAGGGUGCAAGCGUUACUCGGAAUUACUGGGCGUAAAGGGUGCGUAGGUGGUUGUUUAAGUCUGUUGUGAAAGCCCCGGGCUCAACCUGGGAAUGGCAAUGGAUACUGGACAGCUAGAGUGCGGUAGAGGGUAGUGGAAUUCCCGGUGUAGCAGUGAAAUGCGUAGAGAUCGGGAGGAACACCAGUGGCGAAGGCGGCUACCUGGACCAGCACUGACACUGAAGCACGAAAGCGUGGGGAGCAAACAGGG
rnacentral:rRNA from 1 species